GUAGGUACAAAGAAAUAUAAAGAGGGCAAAAGUGAGAAAAAAAGACGGGUACAGAGACCGGUCACUCUCUCUCAUCAUACCCGGACUUUCUCUCUCUCCAAUCGUUAAAACAUUUGGACACCAACAAUCUGAUUAUUUAGAAAAAGUUAAGGGAAAUUUUUACGGUAUACUGUAAUUUGGUGUGUGAUUUUCCGAUGGAUUUUGAAAUUUGAAAUAUUUCCAACGGCAUUAAUUUGUUAAUUUUUUAUUCUUCUAACACCUUAAACAAUUUUUACUCGUAAAAAAAUAAUUUUGCGUAAUUUUUUUGCCUUACACAAGUCCUGUAAGGACAAAGACAUCCAUCUCUCUACCCCAAGCCUAUCCCCCUCUCUCCCCCAAUCUGAGCUCAUAAAAGCCAACAUGAGUUUACAAGAUUGUCCUAUACGAUAACUCGCGGGUUGCUCCAUCUAUUGGCCUACAAGGCCAACAAACACAACUCCAUAGGGAGGGACGUACAAGUUUGGAUGAAGUGAAGUAGAUAAAAAUUACACCCAACUUCGAUGACUUCAAUGGAGUGCAGGUCCAGACUUGUGGACAUGGAUUUGAGCUCUGCACCAUACGCCUCUCUCUGGCUCAAACCUUCUCUCUGUAUACCCCAACCCAUCUCUCUCCCCUUCCCCUUCCCCCUCCCCCUCCCCCAACCCCCAUACGUGCCAUACCCGAUUUUGAGCUCUGCCAUAGACAAAUCUGGCUUUAUUGAGCAACAUGCUUUUGAGCCCCAAACCUAUUCAUUCUAGAGGGAGAAUGACGAUGCUCAUUAGGUUCAAGUAUUCAGGCUUGAGCUCCUCAACCAAACAAUUUGACGCAGGCAUGGAAUGAACUGAUUUGGGUUUUUUUAUGUAUUUCAAUUCUUGUAUUUAAUGGGAGAAGCUCACCCUAAAGAGGGUGAUAUGUGAAUAGAGACUUUGUAUUGAGAUCUUGUAAAGAACUCAAUGGGGGUAGAUUCUCUUUUAAACUUUGAUAGAUAGUAUAUUAUCUCGUUGGGGGUAGAUUCUUUUGCUGAUUCUGAAAGAGGAUAAAUUCUCUCACCUUUAUUAAAUUGUUAUUUUUG
rnacentral:lncRNA from 1 species